rnacentral:miRNA from 1 species
GGAGAAAACGAUGGAAAGUGC